GGAUGGGCCUCCAGAGACGGCGGAGCGCCGGAAGGGCGGCGCCGCCCGAGCCUUUGGCCGAGGUUAUUUUUACGUUCUUUCCACUUUUCCCUUGGUCGCGUGCUUCCUGGGCCUCCACUCUGCGUCCCCCUAACAUGAUCUGAAGUUUUCGAGCAGGACAGCUCCCUGAGACUGAGCACCGUCUGUCCCGCUCCCAGAUUCCGCAGGGGACCAACGUGCUGGCAUCUGAGAUGCUCAGCGAAUGCUUGUUGAUUGCAUGAAUGAACCGCAGGAUGUUUGCCAAGACACUCCUGAUGGCUGGAAGCACGUGAGAUUCUGGAUGCAAUUUCUUAACUUCAUAUUUUUCUGUACAUUCCAAGUCUUUUCUUUCAGUGUGUAAGGAUUACAUUAGAAUUAGACAACAAUAAAGACAUGCACCCCAA